CAGCAUCCUCUCUCUUCACCCCUAGCCUUUGCCCCAGCUCGGGAGGCAGAACCUUGAAGACCUGACGCCUGCCUUCCCCAGCAUCGCUCAGAUGAGAGAAGCCAGAGACGGGCUGUGGUGGCCAGGCGCCAAGCUCUGCAAGGCAGAAGGGGGUUCCGCAUCGCCAUGAGGGCCUGUGGGAUCCAGUCCACUUGUAGAUGCUGUGAGGGCUUGAAGAGGGCUGGGCACAAGCCAACGACGGGAGAGUCCUCUGCGUCCUGUGCCAUGUGGGAAUCGAGUCUUGCCAGUGGGGGGAGGCAUCGAAAGGGGCUCCCAGAGGCAGCGUGUGCAGUGGGCAGGAGCGUGCGCUCUGGAGCCAGAACUGUGGCCUCAGGUAAGGGGCUUAGCACACCUGAACCUCACUGUCCUCAGCCGUAAAAUGAGGGUGAUGAUAGACACCACCUCCAAAUGGCUGUGAGGACCCACUGCACGGAACACUCUGAGCACGGUGCCCAGCGAGGAGCGACAGCUGCUGGUGGUAGUAAUAGCGCCAUGAGUGGUGUAAACAGUGGUAUCACCGAAACAGACAGAAGCCGCAGGUUUCACACUGGGCCUACAGGGCCUUGGAGCUCUGAGGAGCUGCCUCAGGGCUCAGGGGCCACCAGACAUGGCAGAAUCAGGCAGGGCUGUUCCUAGACUGGAGCAGAGCCUAGGGCAAUUCAACUAAUGCAAGGACCACCCUGUCAAGUAUACACCUAGUGAAUGUCACGAAAAGGUAGGUGCUUGGCAGUGUCAGUCAGAGCAUAGUCAACAGUGCCCCAUGCACCCCACCCACCCACACCGUACAAGGGGCCUAAGGAGUCUGAGCGUCGGGAAGUGCAAAAUAUUUUUGCUCAUGCUCUAUCCCCAGCACCUAGCACAGUCAGUCACAUAGUAGGACCUCAGUAAUCUUUGUUGGAUGAAAGGACAAUCAAGCAGGGCUCUGACCAGUCAAAGGAGCUCCUCUGCUUUCUGUUUUACACAACGGGCUUCUGUGUAGGUUUCCCUUUGAACAAAAAGGAUUUUUAACAAAUAAAAUUGAAAUCCCGUGACCUAGUUCA
rnacentral:lncRNA from 1 species